rnacentral:rRNA from 1 species
UACGAAGGGGGCUAGCGUUGCUCGGAAUGACUGGGCGUAAAGGGCGCGUAGGCGGAUUGUACAGUCAGGCGUGAAAUUCCCGGGCUCAACCUGGGGGCUGCGCUUGAGACGUGCGAUCUUGAGUGGGGAAGAGGGUCGUGGAAUUCCCAGUGUAGAGGUGAAAUUCGUAGAUAUUGGGAAGAACACCGGUGGCGAAGGCGGCGACCUGGUCCUUGACUGACGCUGAGGCGCGAAAGCGUGGGGAGCAAAUAGG